GGGGUGACCGCCCCAUUCCAACUGGACGAGAUGCCACCUCCUCCCAACAACGACGGACAAAGGCCUUAAGGGGCCUGGAAGAAAAGAAGCAUCUUGGACAUGGAAUUGUUAAACGACCUCUGAGCAGUUGGCAUCAGAACUUGUUCAUUCGGUUGGCUGCAGAGGGGUGGAAGAAGGUGCGGGGGAGGGAUGUAUGCAACUGUGUUCAUAUUUCCAUUUUGAUGUAACCAUUGUACUUGGGCAUCUCUUGGCUGUGCCACAGGAAAACACUGCUAAAAUAAUUCAGUGGAAACAUAACCUUGCUAUUUCAAUAUAGAUCUGACAAUGAAUUCUCUUUCAUGAAUUAUACUUAUUGUAUUCUUGCUUUAUGUCUAUUAAGGGAAUGAAGGAUUUGUAACUCUGCCAAUAUCUAUAGAGGCCUGUUGCAUUUUUGUCUUUUAUGAAAUUUUUGUCCCCAGGAAAGGCAGAAAUACAUUUUGCCCCCCUGA